rnacentral:rRNA from 1 species
CCUACGGGGAGCAGCAGUGAGGAAUAUUGGUCAAUGGACGCAAGUCUGAACCAGCCAUGCCGCGUGCAGGAAGACGGCUCUAUGAGUUGUAAACUGCUUUUGUACGAGGGUAAACGCAGAUACGCGUAUCUGUCUGAAAGUAUCGUACGAAUAAGGAUCGGCUAACUCCGUGCCAGCAGCCGCGGUAAUACGGAGGAUUCAAGCGUUAUCCGGAUUUAUUGGGUUUAAAGGGAGCGUAGGCGGUAGGAUAAGUUAGAGGUGAAAUCCCGAGGCUCAACUUCGGAAUUGCCUCUGAUACUGUUCGUCUAGAGAGUAGUUGCGGUAGGCGGAAUGUAUGGUGUAGCGGUGAAAUGCUUAGAGAUCAUACAGAACACCGAUUGCGAAGGCAGCUUACCAAGCUACUUCUGACGUUGAGGCACGAAAGCGUGGGGAGCAAACAGGAUUAGAUACCCCAGUAGUC